AAUGUCUAAUCUCAGCCCUUGAUGAAAUCUAAUCAAAGGGAUCAAAUUCUUUCUUCCUUCUUUUUUUCACGUGUGCUUCUUCUCAAGCUCUCAUUAUUUCUUUUUUAUGCAAACAGAUCUGACAAAACACAGACACAUAAACCAAAACAAAUCUGGUUUUCCUUCUCCAGUCACGUAAUUUUUCUAUCUCAUCUACUCCUCUCUCCUUUGUUCAUCGCUGGCAUGAAAUGGUGUGAAGAUCUCUCGGCGUCGACGAUACUCCACCACCACCGUCGGGUCGUCACUGUCCACCUCGUCUCCUCCUGAAAGAAGAUGAUAUGGUUGUCAUUGGAAUUGCUGGAGGAACACGACGGGAUUUAUGGCAGAUGUGGUGCUCGUUGGAUUCACGUCACACGGUUUGAGGUUGGGAGAGGAAGAAGAAGAUCUGUGAGAUCCGGUGAGACCUGAAGAGGCGCUUGAAGAUUAGGUUUAGUUUUUUUUUUCUGGGUUUAUAUUUUUUUUUUUUUAAUUUCUGGUUUAAUUUGUAAACAGGCUUUUAUUGUAAUCCGAAAUUUAAUUUAUAAAAGAAUAUUUUAUUUUUA